rnacentral:lncRNA from 10 species
CCCAAAUGUUGCAUUUCCCAAGACCACCCUGGCCUGCCACGCCCCCAUCUUGGGCCUAUAAAAACCCGAGGCGCCCUACCCCCAGCAGGUAGACACAAAAAGCGGCUGAGCAUUGUGAGGAACACGUCGGCAGAGGAAGAUACAAGCCACUGGUCAUCGAGGGCACACUGGCAGAAGAGCACGCCAACAGGCACUAGCAGGUCGACAAGCCGGGCCAUAGACUGGUGGAAUGACGCGAAGUUUUCCAGGGGAAAACCAUCUCCCUUCUGGCUCCCCCAUCUGCUAAGAGUUACUUCUACUCAAUAAGACCUUGUACUCAUUCUCUAAGCCCGUGUGUGCUCCAAUUCUCCUGGUACACCAAGGAUGUUGCCAGUUCAAAAGUGCAGAAGCCAUACACACAGAGAAACUGUAAGUUAAAAUGCAUUUUGAUAGAACGAGACAACAUUUUCAGUGCUUUCA